rnacentral:rRNA from 1 species
CCGCACUGGAACUGAGACACGGUCCAGACUCCUACGGGAGGCAGCAGUGGGGAAUUUUGGACAAUGGGCGAAAGCCUGAUCCAGCCAUUCCGCGUGCAGGAUGAAGGCCCUCGGGUUGUAAACUGCUUUUGUACAGAACGAAAAGGUUUCUAUUAAUACUAGGAGCUCAUGACGGUACUGUAAGAAUAAGCACCGGCUAACUACGUGCCAGCAGCCGCGGUAAUACGUAGGGUGCAAGCGUUAAUCGGAAUUACUGGGCGUAAAGCGUGCGCAGGCGGUUAUAUAAGUCAGAUGUGAAAUCCCCGGGCUCAACCUGGGAACUGCAUUUGAGACUGUAUAGCUAGAGUACGGUAGAGGGGGAUGGAAUUCCGCGUGUAGCA